rnacentral:lncRNA from 1 species
GUUCAUUUUUUUUUUAUAUAAAUAAGGCCGUUAGUUUUCUCGUUUGAAUUGUUUUACAUUGUCAUAUCGGGGCCUUUUAUAGCUGACUAUGCGGUAUGGGCGUUGCUCAUUGUUGAAGACCGUACGGUAACCUAUAGUUGUUAAUGUCUGUGUCAUUUUGGUCUCUUGUGGACAGUUGUCUCAUUGGCAAUCAUACCACAUCUUCUUUUUUAUAUUAAUAUAUUUCUCUUUUACCAAAAGUUUCAUUUCUGCCAAUUUG